rnacentral:tRNA from 1 species
UGCUGAGGUUGGUGGCGGAGACGGUGAGGUUCUCGGCCGGGCGGACGAAGCAGGCCACGUCGGCGUUGAGCUGUUCGGCGCAGCUCUUCAGCAG